UCAUUAGACGGCACUGCAAAGCUAACAGAGCGUCAACAUUUUUAUUCAACUUAUUACCAUACGGCAACUUCCUUAAAUAUAACAUGGCGUUAUUAACAGAGUAAUAGGAAAGCAUGUUAACAAAAAAACAAAUUGGCAGCACCAAGACACAGCUUGGCGCUUACCUAAACAAAUGUUAACAACCAUGGCAACAGCUUCAACGGAUGCAACCGAAUCAGGCACCAUCUCGAAACAGGCAUCUUCAGUCAGGCACCAGGAGGAGGGCAGCCAUCUCACCGGACGCAGUCAUCUCAGGCUGGAGCAGCCACUCGAGCAUUGGCGCUGAAGGCCUCUCGCCGCAAAUCCACAGGAGCCAGCCGCCAGGACCAGUCAUCUUCAAGCGGCAAUUUUUUCUGUUUGGUGCCGGUGUGAAACGGUCACAAGUAAGACCACUCAGCCUAUAUGAAUAGGUGUGUGGCUUAGUAUUUAUUUCAGCUCGUUAUAUACGUUAGCUAUAUAUAAAUAGUAUUUAGUGGCGUUAGCAGAGGCCUUUACAAUAGUAGGCUUUAAGAGUAUUUUAACAGUAGUAACAUAAAAAUAUCUUAAAAAUAAAUACUGAGUAUGUUAACAGGUUUUUU